rnacentral:rRNA from 1 species
GACGAACGCUGGCGGCGUGCCUAAUACAUGCAAGUCGAACGAACUCUGGUAUUGAUUGGUGCUUGCAUCAUGAUUUACAUUUGAGUGAGUGGCGAACUGGUGAGUAACACGUGGGAAAUCUGCCCAGAAGCAGGGGAUAACACUUGGAAACAGGUGCUAAUACCGUAUAACAACAAAAUCCGCAUGGAUUUUGUUUGAAAGGUGGCUUCGGCUAUCACUUCUGGAUGAUCCCGCGGCGUAUUAGUUAGUUGGUGAGGUAAAGGCCCACCA